rnacentral:siRNA from 1 species
GAUAGUUUGGCCGAGUGGUCUA